CCAAUAGCGUAUAUUAAAGUUGUUGCAGUUAAAAAGCUCGUAGUUGAACUUCAGACCUGGCUGGGCGGUCUGCCUAACGGUAUGUACUGUCCGGCUGGGUCUUACCUCUUGGUGAGCCGGCAUGCCCUUCACUGGGUGUGUCGGGGAACCAGGACUUUUACCUUGAGAAAAUUAGAGUGUUCAAAGCAGGCUUAUGCCCGAAUACAUUAGCAUGGAAUAAUAAAAUAGGACGUGCGGUUCUAUUUUGUUGGUUUCUAGAGUCGCCGUAAUGAUUAAUAGGGAUAGUUGGGGGCAUUAGUAUUCCGUUGCUAGAGGUGAAAUUCUUGGGAUUUACGGAAGACUAACUAU
rnacentral:rRNA from 1 species